rnacentral:lncRNA from 1 species
AUGCUCAAAAUUCUCCAAGCCAGGCUUCAGCAAUAUGUGAACCGCGAACUCUUUGAUGUUCAAGCUGGUUUUAGAAAAGGCAGAGGAACCAGAGAUCAAAUUGCCAACAUCCUCUGGAUCAUGGAAAAAGCGAGAGAGUUCCAGAGAAACAUCUAUUUCUGCUUUCUUGACUAUGCCAAAGCCUUGGACUAUGUGGAUCACAAUAAACUGUGGAAAAUUCUGAAAGAGAUGGGAAUACCAGACCACCUAACCUGCCUCUUGAGAAAUCUGUAUGCAGGUCAGGAAGCAACAGUUAGAACUGGACAUGGAAAAACAGACUGGUUCCAAAUAGGAAAAGGAGUAUGUCAAGGCUGUAUAUUGUCACCCUGCUUAUUUAACUUGCAUGCAGAGUACAUCAUGAGAAACGCUGGGCUGGAAGAAGCACAAGCUGGAAUCAAGAUUGCCAGGAGAAAUAUCAAUAACCUCAGAUAUGCAGAUGACACCACCCUUAUGGCAGAAAGUGAAGAGGAGCUAAAAAGCCUCUUGAUGAAAGUGAAAGAGGAGAGUGAAAAUGUUGGCUUAAAGCUCAACAUUCAGAAAACGAAGAUCAUGGCAUCUGGUCCCAUCACUCCAUGGGAAAUAGAUGGGGAAACAGUAGAAACAGCGUCAGACUUUAUUAUUUUGGGCUCCAAAAUCACUGCAGAUGCUGACUGCAGCCAUGAAAUUAAAAGACACUUACUCCUUGGAAGAAAAGUUAUGACCAACCUAGAUAGCAUAUUCAAAAGCAGAGACGUUACUUUGCCAACUAAGGUCUGUCUAGUCAAGGCUAUGGUUUUUCCAGUAGUCAUGUAUGGAUGUGAGAGUUGGACUGUGAAGAAGGCUGAGCACCAAAGAAUUGAUGCUUUUGAACUGUGGUGUUGGAGAAGACUCUUGAGAGUCCCUUGGACUGCAAGGCGAUCCAACCAGUCCACUCUGAAGGAGAUCAACCCUGGGAUUUCUUUGGAAGGAAUGAUGCUAAAGCUGAAGCUCCAGUACUUUGGACACGUCAUGUGA